GGCGGCAUGGCCAAGCGGUAAGGCAGGGGACUGCAAAUCCUUUAUCCCCAGUUCAAAUCUGG
rnacentral:tRNA from 1 species